GUAAUCAACCUCCGAUCUGCUGAGAAACACUGCAAAAAUGACUUCCUCUGCCAAAAAUAAUAAUGUCGUUUACAAGCAGCUCUUCCAUGUCUAAGGAAGAACUAGCCCCACGUGUGAGUUUAUGCUGGCUUCGGGGGAGCAAGCAAGGAAAAGGGCAAAUCCUACCAACCCCAGCCUAAAAUACCCCGUAUCAGAAUCCACGGGAAGCUGUGGCCCAUUCCAAAGGUGCUGGCAAUAUCCAGGAAGAUUCGUAUCCACAAAAAUCCAAAGGGCAGCCCAGUUAAGCGUGAUCAUGUCCAUGGGCUUAUCUCUACAGAACAGGCAGAGACAUUAAUGUACAAUGAAGAAGUUUUUUGUUUUGUUUUUGCAAAUGUUUCAUUGAGCUACGGGCAGAGCUUGAAGAGAUGAGCUGAAACAAGGAUACAGGUAAAUGGAAAUCGCGGCUCUUCAACCACAGCAUUACUCAUUGUGAUUUGUUUUGAACUCGUUGCAGAGUCAAAUAACACUGUUGCAGUUACCCCUGGUUCACUGCCAUCCAGAAGUAGGUGAUCCUCCUUCUGACACAUCAUCAGAAGAUGAUGGUGGAAAAGCAUGAAAUAGUCAUCACCUUGUGAAAUGUACUGCAAAUGACUUGAGAUAACAACAGUACAGCUCUUGACCAAGAGUUAUAGUUGCCAAGAAGUAUCUACUAUUUGAUGAUUAAUUUAAUAUGCAGAAGUAAGUGACAGGCUGAUCUCUGGCCUCCGCCUGUCUGUACUGGGUGCCUUGCUCAGCUACUUGGAAUCUUCUGCUGCAACGGAGCUUAGAAAGUCCCAGCACCUGGCGAAGAGGGAUGGAGGCGAGUGACAGAAGGAGAACAAAUUCAUCCAUUUGCACUGUACUUCGCAAAAGUAAAAAAACGUGCCUCCAAAGAGGGCCUCUUAUGUGCUCUCUUUAUCUCUUUGUGGUCUGACUGAGGCAGGAACUACCAUCUCCAAAAACACUGGGACUCAUACGUGUUAAAUGAUCUGCUUAAGGUCACGCAGUUUGGAAGCAUUUCAAAUCAGUUUUAGUCUGUAUCUUCCAAAUACAGCUCCAGGAUUCUUUCCACUCGUUCAUUCCAACAUCUCUAUUCUGGGACUAUUAUCAGAAGUGCCUGAACUUGUCUUUGGGAAAUCCCGUCAUUCACUCAAGUGCUUCAUGAGGCGCUUUGAUUGUGAAAACAGAAGAAAUCCCAAAGCUUUGCUAUGAUAAUAAAUAAGAAUGUUAACAGUCUAUUAAAAUAAGAUGUAAGGAUUUAGGAAGAUAUGUAUACCCUCACUGUAUCUUCUCAAAAGCAGAGUGAGUAAUAUUGCCAGAAGGUUCACCCAUAACAGACAGGAGGAAAAUAAUAGCAGUAGACAGUUCUGUCUCUGGGAUAGGUAAGUUUUUUUUUCCCCCAGGAAUGUAGAGAAAAUGAUGAGAUUGUCUUAGGCUUAAUACUCCCUAAUUUUCAUUCCAUACAAAUAGCAUAGUACCAACUGUGGACAGGAUAGUAAAAUCCCUUUUGAGAAGUGCAAUGAAAAAGGUAUGAUUUUAGACUUUGGAUCAAAGACUUUGAAUUCAGGCUAACUAGAGCUCCUUGUAAGGUUGUCGCUAAAAUGAAAUAAAAUAAGACAAAAGUUGUUACAGAG